GAUGAACGCUGGCGGCGUGCCUAAUACAUGCAAGUCGAGCGAACAGACGAUGAUCUUGCUCCUCUGACGUUAGCGGCUGACGUGUGAGUAACACGUGUAUAACCUACCUAUAAGACUGGGAUAACUUCGUGAAACCGGAGCUAAUACCGUAUAAUAUAUUGAACCUCAUUGUUCAAUAGUUAAAUUCGGUUUUUCUGUCUCUUAUAGAUGGUUCCUCGCCGCAUUAUCUAGUUGGUAAGGUAACGUCUUACCAAGGCAACGAUUCGUAGCCGACCUGAGAGGGUGAUCGGCAACACUGGAACGGAGACACGGACAAGACGACUACGGGAGGCAGCAGUAGGGAAUCUUCCGCAAUGGGCGAAAGCAUGACGGAGCAACGCCGCGUGAGUGAUGAAGGUCUUCGGAUCGUAAAACUCUGUUAUUAGGGAAGAAAAAAUGUGUAAGUAAAUAUGCACGUAUUGACGGUAACUAAUCAGAAAGCAACGGCUAACUACGUG
rnacentral:rRNA from 1 species